CCUACGGGUGGCAGCAGUGAGGAAUAUUGGUCAAUGGGCGCGAGCCUGAACCAGCCAAGUAGCGUGAAGGAUGACUGCCCUACGGGUUGUAAACUUCUUUUAUAAAGGAAUAAAGUGAGGCACGUGUGCCUUUUUGUAUGUACUUUAUGAAUAAGGAUCGGCUAACUCCGUGCCAGCAGCCGCGGUAAUACGGAGGAUCCGAGCGUUAUCCGGAUUUAUUGGGUGUAAAGGGAGCGUAGAUGGGUUGUUAAGUCAGUUGUGAAGGUUUGCGGCUCAACCGUAAAAUUGCAAUUGAUACUGGCAGGCUUGAGUACGGUAGGGGUAGGCGGAAUUCGUGGUGUAGCGGUGAAAUGCGUAGAUAUCACGAAGAACUCCGAUGGCGAAGGCAGCUUACUAAACUGCCACUGACAUUGAUGCUCGAAAGUGUGGGGAUCAAACAGGAUUAGAUACCCGAGUAGUC
rnacentral:rRNA from 1 species